rnacentral:lncRNA from 1 species
AUGAACCUAUAUGGAAAUACAGUAAAAGGUAAAGGUUUUCCCCUGACGUUAAGUCCAGUCAUGUCUGACUCUGGGGGUUGGUGCUCAUCUCCAUUUCUAAGCCGAAGAGCCGGCGUUGUCCGUAAACACCUCCAAGGUCACGUGGCCGGCAUGACUGCAUGGAGUACCGUUACCUUCCCGCUGCAGUGGUACCUAUUGAUCUACUCACAUUUACAUGUUUUUGAACUGCUAGGUUGGCAGGAGCUGGGGCUAACAGUGGGCGCUCAUUCCGCUCCCCGGAUUUGAACCUGGCAUCUUUCGGUCCACAAGUUCAGCAGCUCAGUGCUUUAACACACUUCACCACCGGGGAUCCCAUGUCCCAAGAUAUAUAGAUAUCAAAAAUACGUCCAGAAAUCAAACAUUUACUGAUAACAGCUUAGGAUUUCCAAGUUGCAAAACAGUUUUCCUUUUUAAUGAAGUAAAGCUGAAACAUCUCCUGCAGAGCCCACUGUAAGCACUGCACAAAUGAUUCAUGUAAAUGUCUAAAACAGCCACUAAGGACCUCAUCACACUUACCAAUUUAAGAAUCCUGGGAUGCUUAGCAGCCAGUUGAGGGACUGAUGGGCCCGCAGCCCCUCACAUGACGUCCCUCAACUUCCGGCGGAGGCCCUGUCCCCAACCGGAAACCUAGGACGCUUCCUCCUCAACACUUGAACGGGAUUUGAACCUGGGACCUUUAUUUAUUUAUUUAUUUAUUUAUAGUAUUUAUAUUCCGCUCUUCUCACCCCGAAGGGGACUCAGGGCGGAUCACAUUAUACACACAUAGGGCAAACAUUCAAUGCCCAUAAACACAUUGAACCGAGACAGAGACAAACAGACGCAGAGGCAAGUUAACCUUCUCCUGAGGGGAUGUUUGAUUCUGGCCACAGGGGGGAGCAGCUGCUUCAUCAUCCACUCUGACGGCACUUCCUCAUUCCAAUGUUGUAAAUUAGUUAAACUUGCCUCCCCACUUUUAUAAGUGGUACCUUAUUUCCUACUUGAUAGAUGCAACUAUCUUUCGGGUUGCUAGGUCAGCAACGAGCAGGGGCUAUUUUUUAUUUUUAAUUGAAGGGUGCUCACCCCGCCACGGGCUGGCCUCGAACUCAUGACCUCAUGGUCUGAGUGAUUUAUUGCAGCAGGCUACUCACCAGCCUGCGCCACAGCCUGGACCUUUUGGUCUGCAAGUUCAGCACCUCAGCACUUUAACACACUGUGCCACCAGGGGCUCUCACCAUCUCCUUCUAAACAACCCUUAAAGGUCCAGGAGCGCUUUCCAGAUUUUAGUCUGGCACACUUAUG